GACGUAGGGCGCGAGCGUUGUCCGGAUUUAUUGGGCGUAAAGAGCUCGUAGGCGGUUGAGUAAGUCGGGUGUGAAAACUCUGGGCUUAACCCAGAGCCGCCACCCGAUACUGCUCUGACUUGAGUUCGGUAGGGGAGCAGGGAAUUCCUGGUGUAGCGGUGAAAUGCGCAGAUAUCAGGAGGAACACCAGUGGCGAAGGCGGUGCUCUGGGCCGGAACUGACGCUGAUGAGCGAAAGCGUGGGGAGCAAACAGG
rnacentral:rRNA from 1 species